AUUGAACGCUGGCGGCAGGCCUAACACAUGCAAGUCGAACGGUAGCACAGAGAGCUUGCUCUCGGGUGACGAGUGGCGGACGGGUGAGUAAUGUCUGGGAAACUGCCCGAUGGAGGGGGAUAACUACUGGAAACGGUAGCUAAUACCGCAUAACGUCGCAAGACCAAAGUGGGGGACCUUCGGGCCUCACACCAUCGGAUGUGCCCAGAUGGGAUUAGCUAGUAGGUGGGGUAAUGGCUCACCUAGGCGACGAUCCCUAGCUGGUCUGAGAGGAUGACCAGCCACACUGGAACUGGGCCACGGUCCAGACUCCUACGGGAGGCAGCAGUGGGGAAUAUUGCACAAUGGGCGCAAGCCUGAUGCAGCCAUGCCGCGUGUAUGAAGAAGGCCUUCGGGUUGUAAAGUACUUUCAGCGGGGAGGAAGGCGGUGAAGUUAAUAACUUCACCGAUUGACGUUACCCGCAGAAGAAGCACCGGCUAACUCCGUGCCAGCCGCCGCCGUAA
rnacentral:rRNA from 1 species